AACGAACGCUGGCGGCAUUCCUAACACAUGCAAGUCGAACGAGACCUUCGUGUCUAGUGGCGCACGGGUGAGUAACGCGUGGGAACCUGCCCUUAGGUUCGGAAUAACUCCCCGAAAGGGGUGCUAAUACCGGAUAAUGUCUUCGGACCAAGGAUUUAUCGCCUUUGGAUGGUCCCGCGUUGGAUUAGCUAGUUGGUAGGGUAAAAGCCUACCAAGGCGACGAUCCAUAGCUGGUCUGAGAGGAUGAUCAGCCACACUGGGACUGAGACACGGCCCAGACUCCUACGGGAGGCAGCAGUGGGGAAUAGUGGUCAAUGGGCGAAAGCCUGAUCCAGCAAUGCCGCGUGAGUGAUGAAGGCCUUAGGGUUGUAAAGCUCUUUUACCCGGGAUGAUAAUGACAGUACCGGGAGAAUAAGCUCCGGCUAACUCCGUG
rnacentral:rRNA from 1 species